GAUGAACGCUAGCGGCAGGCUUAACACAUGCAAGUCGAGGGGUAUAGUUCUUCGGAGCUAGAGACCGGCGCACGGGUGCGUAACGCGUAUGCAAUCUACCUUUUGCAGAGGGAUAGCCCAGAGAAAUUUGGAUUAAUACCUCAUGGUAUGUGAGAAUGGCAUCAUUUUCGCAUUAAAGUCACAACGGCAAAAGAUGAGCAUGCGUUCCAUUAGCUAGUUGGUAAGGUAACGGCUUACCAAGGCAACGAUGGGUAGGGGUCCUGAGAAGGAGAUCCACCAGACUGGUACUGUGACACGGACCAGACUCCGACGGGGGGAUGCAGUGAGGAAUAUUGGACGAUGGGCGCAAGCCUGAUCCAGCCAUGCCGCGUGCAGGAUGACGGUCCUAUGGAUUGUAAACUGCUUUUGUACAGGAAGAAACACUGGUUCGUGAACCAGCUUGACGGUACUGUAAGAAUAAGGAUCGGCUAACUCCGUGCCAGCAGCCGCGGUAAAAC
rnacentral:rRNA from 1 species